GGUGGAACUGCCUGAGGCUUCCUCUAGAGAAAAGAGAGCAGGGGACGCUUUCCAACAGCCUGUCCCCUCAGCUUGCUAAACCUCAGACACACCUAAACUUCAAAGUUCACCCUGUAUGUAGCUCGAGGUGUACCCCUGCACAGCUAGGCCCAGCUCAGUCACCGGAGGCCUCUGGGUGUGGAACCGCAGCAGCAAAGCUGGAGAGGCCUAGAGAAACAGAGGGUGACCUCUCCAUUUGUGGAAAUUAAAAUGUCCUCAAACUCCAAAGAAGACUAUCUCUUUCCCAGUGUGCCAGCCGUCUCCUGUGCGCCACAAGCCCUUGCUGCUUUGAGCUCCUUCAAGUCUGGUGGUUUAUGUUCCUGGAGUUUGCAGGGAGCUAACCUGGUCUCACAGUGUCCUGAAUCUGACAACUCAUGUCAAACAUGGAAGAGCCAAGAAAGUGUCCAACUUCUGAAAGCCGCUUUUACCAGUGUUGAAGGCCGCUUUUACCAGUGUUGAAGGCCUCAUUCUCCGCCAGAGAGGAAAUAUGAGAAGGAUCCUGAGAAUGCCAUGCAGGGAAGAAGAGGGGAAACGCCUCUGUGGCCUCUUCACUGAUGUCUACGCCUUAGACCUGUUCACAGAGGCCAUCACCCCAGAGUCAGCAGAGCCCUCAGGCCGCUAGGGACCGCUCCAGGGUGGCACGUCCCAUCCUCACGGAGGGCGGGACCUGAGAGCCUAGGGUGUCCAGGACGUGGCUCCACCCUGCCUUUCCAUGACGCCGUGCUCCGCGGGAAGGGCCAAGUGCGUGAGGGGCGGGACAGAAGGCGGGGCCAGCACUAGGACAGAAGGACCUGAGCAGACUAAGGGGAGGGCAGGAAGGAGGGAGGGCAUCGCAGAGGAGGGAGGGGCAGAGCAGAGUUAGCUGGGGGCCUGAGUUCCUAAGACCCUGAAAUAGCGCUGGGCUUCCUGAAACCAGUUUGCCUUCCUGAAAGGCAGCACCGAGUCUCGCUCGGUUUGGCGGGAGAAGUGGGAGGUAGGAAUGUCUGUGACCACAGUAGAAGGAACAGAAAUCCCUUUUAUGAACAGGAGAGUGAAUGCUAAACAGUCGGUGGACUUUAGGAGAGCAAUGGCACCACAGUACAGAGAGGAAGGAAAAAAAGAGGACCCACCUUUCCCAGCAAGGGCAGGCACACAGAGAUAGACGGCUGUCACAGGAAUUUGUCAAGAGUUGUGACUCAGUUUAGUUGAAGCCAAAGCAAAGUCCAGACUGUGGGACUGAGCCUACGGACUUCUGCGGUCCCAGACACAAUUUCAAGCGACUUCGUCCACCGGGAGAAUCUAUCCGCCCCCUUGCCUCCCGAAGCGUCUAGAUACAGCAGAGCCUGCCCCUGGGGUCAUCAAGCAAGUGAAAAAGUUCAAUGUGAAUGCAAGACAUCUCCACCCCUCACCCCACCCCACCCCCACCAGGGUGCUCAGGCCGUGUGAAUAAUGGGUGCAGCUGUAUUCUUUCAUAGUGCCAAAAAUGUCCCCAGAUAACCAAGUGGUCAGCCUCUGAGGUCAACUCCCUGUGCCUGCCAGAUCCUUGAGAACUGAUGGAAUCUCCAGACACACCGUGUGGACAUUUAGCUGAGGGCUUUGCCUCCCCUCAUCAUGUCAAUUUCUCAGAGAACCAGACUGGGGCUCGGACCAGGGCACCCAGCCCACAGGCACGGCUGCAGGCUCCUGGAGAGAACCGCAUUGUCCCUUUGUCUCAGCCUGGGAAUGAUGCUCCCACUUGACUCAGCCUGCUACCUUAAGGAGUGGUACUUAAUUAUUUGCACAUCAUCCAGCUAGUCGUCCACGAUAGACAUUACCAUCCUUCAAAAGGUUCAAAGAAGAAAGAGAAAAGAACUGAUACUUCAGGUACACACUCCAAACCUGUCAUUACACAAGAGAGCUUCCCAGCCAUUUCCUGAGCUGGGACAGAGUUGGGAAGUCUAGAGAAUCUACUACAACCACACCCCAAAUCCAGCCCAGGCUAGCCAGAUGCCAGGCUGCUUUCUGCAACUGCCUACAGCCUAUAGAAAAACACCUGCAUCAAGGUAAAAGAUUUUAUUCCAAUAUUAAAUAUAGACAAAGAAAAAAACCAGUUUACAUAUUUUUGCAUGGUAUGGACUGGGGAGUUGGGCUUUCUCCUUUUCCAUCUACCACAUUUACAAACCUCGGCCUGAGCACUGAAAGUGAGCAAUGCAGGUCCAUUUGCUGGUCAUUUUAUCAAUCUGAAGAACAUAAUUUGCAACUCUCUGGGCAGUUGUCCCAUCUCCUCCUUUUAAACAAAUGCAUGCUAGCAGGGCAUGGGAGCAUGCACCUAAUCUUAGCAUUCAGGAGAUGGAAGCACCUCAAGAUUAUCCUCAGCUACAUACCAAGUUUGAAGCUAGGCCACCCAUUGCCUUGAAGCCCUCCAGACACAGCAGAGCCUGUCCCUGGGGCUUCAGGAGAUUGUCUCCAAAAUAAAUAAAUGUCUGUAUUCAAGAGUCCAUCUCAGACACC